AUGGGAUUGGCUACCAUGGAAACGGUGAAGACAGAAGAGCACCAGCAGCAUUUCACAGGGGCUAGGACUAAAAAAGACAUUCUGCAUAGAGAAGGUAAUUGAAAGACAUUUACAUCACAGCGGAUAGCUUCCAUGCAUUCCUGCCAUUCCAAGACAACACAUUCCUGGCAUAGGCUGCAACAAGCCUCCACAUGCACCAGUGAUACACAGCAGAGCAGGCAUUGUCAGAAGGAUUGGAAAUGAAUCUUUAUGAACAAGGAGUCUUUAUCACCCUUGUUAAAUGUUAUUUUCAUGCAACUUCCUCAAGGGGAGAUGACUCAGCGAGAGAGUAAACCAUAAUGCUCCAUUGACACCAGUGGCCAUAUGUGCUGGUAAUCAGCCUGAAGGCAGCAGAGACAGUUCAGAGAAUCAGCAUGGCCAUGUGAACUUCAUCCUUUACCCUGGAGACUGAGUACUUCUGUAGUCCACUGCUGCCAGAUAGCAGUGGAGACCUGAAAUGGACCUGGAAUGCUUGCUGUGGAGACACUGGAAAAUCUGGGAAAAGUCAAGGUUUGCAUCUUGCCAUGGAUAAAAGAAGCCUGGACAACUACAUUAAUGAUAGCCAGGAAACCACAAACAGCAGGAAAAAACACAGCAGAGACCUCACAAACAACACUGGGCAAGGAGGAGGGGUAGGGGAUGGGAAAGAAGGGGUUAAACAUGCCAAGUUCACAGUAAUUUCUGUUGAGUAGAAUCACAAGGUUUGGGUUAGACCUUAAAGUUCAUCCAGUUCCAACCACUCUUCCAUGGGCAGGGACACCUUUCACUAGACCAGGUUGCUGAGAUCCAACAUCGCCAGGAAUUGGUGAUGAACACUGAACAUUGCCAGGAAUGGAGCAUCCACAACUUCUCCAGGCAAUCUGUUCACCAGCCUCACAGUAAAGAAUUCCCUGCUGCUACCUGUGCUGUUCUCCUUUGUCCUGUCACUACACUGCCUGGUAAAGAGUGCCUCCACAUAUUUCCUGUAGGUCCUCCUCAAGUAAUGGAAGGCUGCCACAGGACUGCCCUGGACUACAUAUUUAUAAAAUAUAUU